rnacentral:rRNA from 1 species
CAGUCGCCGCGGGAAUACGGAGGAUCCAAGCGUUAUCCGGAAUCAUUGGGUUUAAAGGGUCCGUAGGCGGUCUUGUAAGUCAGUGGUAAAAGCCCAUCGCUCAACGGUGGAACGGCCAUUGAUACUGCAGGACUUGAAUUAUUGGGAAGUAACUAGAAUAUGUAGUGUAGCGGUGAAAUGCUUAGAGAUUACAUGGAAUACCAAUUGCGAAGGCAGGUUACUACCAAUUGAUUGACGCUGAUGGACGAAAGCGUGGGUAGCGAACAGGAUUAGAUACCCCGGUAGUCCCUGUCUCUUAUAC